ensembl:snRNA
CUGUUGUAUGAAAGGAGAAAAGGUUAGCACCUCCCUUGCCAAGGAUAGAAGAGGUCCUUGGUCUGCAUGCCACAUGUACGGGUAAGACAAUUGCAUCAACUUUAUGGCUUCUCACCGUGGCUGUUGU